rnacentral:tRNA from 1 species
GCCUUCGUGGUGUAGUGGUCAGCAUGCUGGGCGCGUAUUCCAAAGGUCCGAAGUUCGAAUCUCGGCGAAGGUG